rnacentral:rRNA from 1 species
UACGUAGGGUGCAAGCGUUAAUCGGAAUUACUGGGCGUAAAGCGUGCGCAGGCGGUUUUGUAAGUUUGUCGUGAAAGCCCCGGGCUCAACCUGGGAAUUGCAUUUGAAACUGGGGAACUAGAGUGUGUGAGAGGGGGGUAGAAUUCCAAGUGUAGCAGUGAAAUGCGUAGAGAUGUGGAGGAACACCGAUGGCGAAGGCAGCCCCCUGGGUCAAGAUUGACGCUCAUGCACGAAAGCGUGGGGAGCAAACAGG